CCUACGGGAGGCAGCAGUGAGGAAUAUUGGUCAAUGGGCGGGAGCCUGAACCAGCCAAGCCGCGUGAAGGAUGAAGGUACUGCGGAUUGUAAACCUCUUUUGUAAGGGAACAAAGGCGGGCACUAGUCCCCUGUUGAGGGUACCUGAAGAAAAAGGAUCGGCUAACUCCGUGCCAGCAGCCGCGGUAAUACGGAGGAUCCGAGCGUUAUCCGGAUUUAUUGGGUUUAAAGGGUGAGUAGGCGGGCUGUUAAGUCAGCGGUGAAAGGUUCGGGCUCAACCCUAGAGGUGCAGUUGAUACUGGCAGGCUGGAGUUGGGGAGAGGUAGGCGGAAUUCGCGGUGUAGCGGUGAAAUGCUUAGAUAUCACGAAGAACCCCGAUUGCGAAGGCAGCUUACCGGCUCCACACUGACGCUGAGGCACGAAAGCGUGGGUAUCAAACAGGAUUAGAUACCCCUGUAGUC
rnacentral:rRNA from 1 species